rnacentral:lncRNA from 1 species
UCGUAUGGGCCUUAUGAUUGGGCCCAUUAGGAUUUAAUUUUGGACUUGUUUUAGCCCAUUUUUAAUUUUUUUUUAAUAUUAAUAAAAUAGUAAUAAUAAAAUUUUGAAAAAAACAAAAACAAAAAAUACAAAUUACAUUUUAGCCCCUGAAUUUUUCAAAAAUUACAUUUUGACCCCUAUAUUUUUUUCUAAAUUUACAUCUUAACCCCUAAUAAUUUGUAAAUUACAUUUGGGCCCCUAAACUUUCUAAAAAUUACAUUUUGGCCCCAUAUUUUCCUAAAAUUGCACUUUUACCCUAGAAAUUUCACAUCUUCUGCAGUUUGGUCCUUCUGGACUUGUCAAAUCGCCGCAAUCAGUAGUCGAGCGUGCUUCUCCCACCUCCAGCUACUCCAGCAGCCUCCCUAGGCCAUGAUUGCUCCACUGCCACCUGAAAACAAAGAAGAAGAAGACAAAAUUGAAGGAUUUAAAAGAAGAAAAUGAGAGAAAGAGAGGGGGAUUCAUUUUCGGGCAGCAAAAAAAUAGUAGAGAAAUUUCAAAAAAAAACUUUCGAAUCCAGUUGAUUCCCCCACCGUCACCACAACCACCGCCACCGCAGCACCGUCGUCGUCAACACCUACAACCCAAACAAGCAAAGCAACAAGCAAAACAAAGGAAAAUAAAAACAGCAACUGAAACCAAAAAAAAAAGAGAAAAUAAGAGAAGAAAAAAGAAGAAGAGAAGAGCAGAUGCCGAAGACAGUCGCACCGAGCGAAGGAAGCGGCGACGGCGAGGAAGAGCAAGGUCGAAGGGAAGGAAGAAGAAGAGAAGAAAGAAGGAAAAAAAGAAAAAAAGAAAGAAGAAAGGGAAAGAAAAAAAGGGAAAAAAAGAAAAAAUAGAAUAGUCGGGUCGACCCGACCCGAUUCGCAACCCGAGCCACUGACCCGACCCACGGCAGCAGCCCUAGCAGCAAGCCAACAGCAGGCUAAGCCCACUCCCAGCAACACAACUCAAGCAGUCCAAAGCAAAAAAAAGAAGAAGGCAAAAGCAAAAAAAAAGGAAGCAGGCCAACAGCAGCCCAAUAGCAGGCCCAGAAGCAGUCCAACAGGCCCAAUUCAGCGCCAGGCCCAACAGAAGGCCUAGCAGGCCAGGCAACCCAACAGCCAGCCGCCCAGC